AGCAAUGUCAAUCAUUUUAAUUGCUUCAAACAUAUUAAUUUUUUUGAGUGUUUCAUUUAUACCGACAUCUUCAUCAAUAUCAACAAUUAGUCUAUUAUUUAGAAGAUCGGCGAAGUUAUCUUUAAAGCAUUUGAUUAUUCCAGCAUCCAUUGGCUGUGUUCGUGGUGUAGUAUUGGCAGUUCGACGAGCCAUUGAUUGAAAAUAUCUUGUGUCAUCCAAGCUGAUUUGUUACCAAGGUAAUCCAACUCAACAUCAUCUAAAUUUUGAUUUUGAAAACAUCUUGGUUUUUUACUUUUCCCUAUCACCAAUGGACGAACUUUAAUUCCUGUCAUGGAAGUUCCAAGUAAAACUGUAACUCUGGAUUUAUCAUCUUUAUGACCAAUUGUGUUAACAUUUUCACCCUUUGGACAAAUUGUUUUUUUCCUUAGACUUUUUAUAAAUACACCAGUUUCAUCAAAGUUAUAAAUUUGACUAGCAUCUCUUUCAAUAGGUGAAUUGACCUUAUCAAGUCGACAUUUCUUUGGACCUGCAGUACUGAUGGCGGAGAUGAUUUCUUCUUGUCUUUUGAUGAUAUAACUUACUGAUGACUGGACAAUCUAGCUAAACGUUUAAUAGUCAUACUGAUAGACAAAAGUAGAACAUUUUAAGUUCGACAACGACAAUGUGUUUUGAAAAACAGUAGAUGGCGUAUCUUCAAAAAUAUCGAAAAAGCGUGGAUUUACUGUAUGUUUAUAAUAGAUCAAUAAAUGUACAGAUGAAAACACAUCUGAAAAAACAGAUUUAGUACACAAAUUAGAUUAAAACUAAACAACUGGAUUUGAUGCUCUGACAGCUGUGAUAUGAUUGCGAACUACUUCGAACGCUUCAGCCGAAUAUGUUUGAUGGACAAGCGCUUCUAAAAAUUUUUUCCAAUUGGUGUUUUUAUGGUCUGUAGCAAAUUACCAUGGCGCAAGUCUUCUACUAAAUCAAAAACUGCUCCAUAAUAGGUGUGGUCAGAAGCAUUGGGUUUUGGCAGCUUGAUGUCUCCUUUAUAUUCAAAAUUUCUAGAUGUGCACAAAUAAUCAAUUUCGUAUCCUCGAUCGACGUCCUUGAAAUUCGCGGGAAGCAAACCACUGGCUAGCAGCAAAUAACACAAAACCGUUUGCGGUUUGGUUGCUCUAGGUUUUUUGAGGUUGACUCCUCUACCAUAAUAUAAAUUUUUUAUAUUAAAAUCACCAGCUAAAACAAUGCCAUCGACGGCUCUUUUUCUAUUGUUUGCUGCAUCCCUCCCACCAGCCUGGAGUCCUAUAGCAGCACCAAAAGCAGCGAAUAAAUAAUAAGCUUUGUCAGGUACAUUCUUGCAUAAUUGAUGGCAAUUUAUGAUGGCGAUUCUUUUUUUCCGUGCCUCACUAUAGCGACCAGAAGAUCACCACGUCCUGUAUCGAAGGUAUCGAUAUAACCAGGGAAGAAUUGCCUUUUAAAGCAGGUCAGGAUGUUUCCAACAUUUCUAUAUUUCCAGGCAGCACGGUUCUUGCGUGAGCGGUUAGCUGCUUCGUCCAUUUUUGCAGCAUACCCUUGGUCCAUUUGCACUUGAAUAGAUUUUGGUAUUCCCUGUGUACAAACAACACAUUUUACGUCAGGAUGCUUUUUUUCAAGGUAUUUAGAUGUUUUCCACAACAGGUCUUGCUGUUUGUAGAGAUUAUACUGUGAAAAACAGUAACUCAUUUUUACUCAAAGAAAAUAAUAAAACUAAACUAAUUAACAGUUUAAACCAAUUUGAAACUUUACGGCGAACGGAUUCUAUUUAGAAAAAAAAUUGCGCUUCGAAAGCUGUGUUGUCAUAGAAACACGUAGUCAAUGACAACAUAAUAAUGUUACACUAUAUUCUUUGUUGUUGAAAAAAUUGAAUCUCAGUUUAAUUAUUUUUUUCAAAACAUUUUGUUUAAUCAUUUAUGAUAAUAGUUAUCAUGGCGUCUAUGCCAUUUGCUGUGCCUAAACAUGGAGAAAAACGAAAACGAAAGUGUGAAUGUAAAACGCAUCCAUAUGCAUUGGCCCAAAAAUACAUUGCUAGACUCAAAAAAAAGCACCCGGAGCCGAAUUUUAGCCGUGUUAAUUCACUCAAAUUCCACAGGCUAUUGGACAUCGUUGUCGAAAAGUAUGGCUUCCCUAGAUGUGAUUGUUUCCACACGGAUUGGUUUUAUCUCGAUUGAUUUCAUCACAUUGAGGAAGAAAUUGAAUUUUACUCAUUUUACAUUUUCCAUAGUGAACUAAUGCAGCAUCUAAUUUCAUCAUUAGAUCAAAUCUUCACCUUCGCGUGAUUAUUAUUCUGAUUAUUAUUCAUGUCAACAUGACAUUUUAUCACAUCACAAACAUGCUAAAAUAAAAAAAUAAACAUUUGACUUUUAAUUCAUCAUACAGAGACUUAAUUACAAUAAAAUUUGUCCAAUAUAGCGGCUUUGUGCAGUAAA